UACGGAGGGUGCAAGCGUUAUCCGGAUUCACUGGGUUUAAAGGGAGCGUAGGUGGGCUGGUAAGUCAGUGGUGAAAUCUCCGGGCUUAACUCGGAAACUGCCGUUGAUACUAUCAGUCUUCGAAUAUUUGUGGAGGUAAGCGGAAUAUGUCAUGUAGCGGUGAAAUGCUUAGAUAUGACUAGAACACCGAUAGCGAAGGCAGCUUGCUACACAAUUAUUGACACUGAGGCUCGAAAGCGUGGGGAUCAAAACAGG
rnacentral:rRNA from 1 species